AGGGUUUGAUCCUGGCUCAGAAUGAACGCUGGCGGCAUGGAUCAGGCAUGCAAGUCGAGCGAGAAAGUUUCCUUCGGGAGGCGAGUAAAGCGGCGCAAGGGUGAGUAACGCGUGAGUAAUCUGCCCCCGGCACCGGGAUAGCCCUGGGAAACCGGGAUUAAUACCGGACGGUGCUUCACGGCCGCAUGGCUGUGCAGCCGAAGAUUGAGUUCGGCCGGGGAUGAGCUCGCGGCCCAUUAGCUGGUCGGUGAGGUAACGGCUCACCGAGGCGAAGACGGGUAGCUGGUCUGAGAGGAUGGUCAGCCACACUGGGACUGAGACACUGCCCAGACUCCUACGGGAGGCUGCAGUCGAGAAUCUUCCGCAAUGGGCGCAAGCCUGACGGAGCGAUGCCGCGUGAGGGAUGACGGCCUUCGGGUUGUAAACCUCUGUCAGAGGGGACGAAGCAUGUGACGGUACCCUCAGAGGAAGCCACGGCUAACUACGUGCCAGCAGCCGCGGUAACACGUAGGUGGCGAGCGUUAUUCGGAUUUACUGGGCGUAAAGGGUCCGCAGGGGGUCUGUCAAGUCUGAUGUGAAACUCCGCAGCUCAACUGCGGACGUGCAUUGGAAACUGGCGGACUCGAGUACACGAUGGGAGAACGGAAUUCCUGGUGUAGCGGUGGAAUGCGUAGAUAUCAGGAAGAACACCGGCGGCGAAGGCGGUUCUCUGGCGUGUCACUGACCCUCAAGGACGAAAGCGUGGGUAGCGAACAGGAUUAGAUACCCUGGUAGUCCACGCCGUAAACGUUGUGCACUAGAUGUGGGGAGUACCUUAGGUCCUUUCCGUGUCCAAGUUAACGCGAUAAGUGCACCGCCUGGGGACUACGGCCGCAAGGCUAAAACUCAAAGGAAUUGACGGGGGCCCGCACAAGCGGUGGAGCAUGUGGCUUAAUUCGAGGCAACGCGAAGAACCUUACCCGGAUUUGACAUAUGUCUGCUCGUCCGUGAAAGCGGAUUUUCUCUUCGGAGACGGACAUACAGGUGCUGCAUGGCUGUCGUCAGCUCGUGCCGUGAGGUGUUCGGUUAAGUCCGGCAACGAGCGCAACCCGUGUCGUCAGUUGCCAUCAGGUAAUGCUGGGCACUCUGGCGAGACUGCCCGUGUCAAGCGGGAGGAAGGCGCGGACGACGUCAAGUCCGUAUGGCCCUUACAUCCGGGGCUGCACACGUGCUACAAUGGGCGGUACAGUGGGAAGCCACGUCGCGAGGCGCAGCGAAUCCCCAAAGCCGUCCUCAGUUCGGAUUGGAGUCUGCAAUUCGACUCCAUGAAGCUGGAAUCGCUAGUAAAGGCGCAUCAGCAACGGCGCCUUGAAUACGUUCCCGGGCCUUGUACACACCGCCCGUCACAUCAUGGAAGCCGGCUGCACCCGAAGUUCCCGCUCAGCGGGACCGAAGGUGUGUCCGGUGACUGGGAUGAAGUCGUAACAAGGUAACC
rnacentral:rRNA from 1 species